rnacentral:rRNA from 1 species
UACGAAGGGUGCAAGCGUUAAUCGGAAUUACUGGGCGUAAAGCGUGCGCAGGCGGUUUGUUAAGUCAGAUGUGAAAGCCCCGGGCUCAACCUGGGAACUGCGUUUGGUACUGGCAAGCUAGAGUACGGCAGAGGGGGGUGGAAUUCCACGUGUAGCAGUGAAAUGCGCAGAUAUCAGGAGGAACACCGGUGGCGAAGGCGGGUCUCUGGGCCGAUACUGACGCUGAGGAGCGAAAGCGUGGGGAGCGAACAGG